GGACCCGCACAAGCGGUGGAUGAUGUGGUUUAAUUCGAUGCAACGCGAAAAACCUUACCCACCUUUGACAUGUACGGAAUCCUUUAGAGAUAGAGGAGUGCUCGAAAGAGAGCCGUAACACAGGUGCUGCAUGGCUGUCGUCAGCUCGUGUCGUGAGAUGUUGGGUUAAGUCCCGCAACGAGCGCAACCCUUGCCAUUAGUUGCUACGAAAGGGCACUCUAAUGGGACUGCCGGUGACAAACCGGAGGAAGGUGGGGAUGACGUCAAGUCCUCAUGGCCCUUAUAGGUGGGGCUACACACGUCAUACAAUGGCUGGUACAAAGGGUUGCCAACCCGCGAGGGGGAGCCAAUCCCACAAAGCCAGUCGUAGUCCGGAUCGCAGUCUGCAACUCGACUGCGUGAAGUCGGAAUCGCUAGUAAUCGUGGAUCAGAAUGUCACGGUGAAUACGUUCCCGGGUCUUGUACACACCGCCCGUCACACCAUGGGAGCGGGUUCNGCCAGAAGUAGGUA
rnacentral:rRNA from 1 species